rnacentral:rRNA from 1 species
UGCCAGCAGCCGCGGUAAUACGGAGGGCGCAAGCGUUGCUCGGAAUCACUGGGCGUAAAGCGAACGCAGGCGGCUUGUCAAGUUGGGUGUGAAAUCCCGGGGCUCAACCCCGGAACUGCAUUCAAAACUGGCAGCCUUGAGUAUGGGAGAGGGAAGCGGAAUUCCUGGUGUAGAGGUGAAAUUCGUAGAUAUCAGGAGGAACACCAGUGGCGAAAGCGGCUUCCUGGCUCAAUACUGACGCUCAUGUUCGAAAGCGUGGGGAGCAAACAGGAUUAGAUA